rnacentral:rRNA from 1 species
AUUGAACGCUGGCGGCAGGCCUAACACAUGCAAGUCGAACGGUAACAGGAAGCAGCUUGCUGCUUUGCUGACGAGUGGCGGACGGGUGAGUAAUGUCUGGGAAACUGCCUGAUGGAGGGGGAUAACUACUGGAAACGGUAGCUAAUACCGCAUAACGUCGCAAGACCAAAGAGGGGGACCUUCGGGCCUCUGGCCAUCGGAUGUGCCCAGAUGGGAUUAGCUAGUAGGUGGGGUAACGGCUCACCUAGGCGACGAUCCCUAGCUGGUCUGAGAGGAUGACCAGCCACACUGGAACUGAGACACGGUCCAGACUCCUACGGGAGGCAGCAGUGGGGAAUAUUGCACAAUGGGCGCAAGCCUGAUGCAGCCAUGCCGCGUGUAUGAAGAAGGCCUUCGGGUUGUAAAGUACUUUCAGCGGGGAGGAAGGGAGUAAAGUUAAUACCUUUGCUCAUUGACGUUACCCGCAGAAGAAGCACCGGCUAACUCCGUG